GGAACUUAAUCACUUUUUGUCGUUCAUUCAUCUUUUAUGAACGAAACAAUGCUUGUCGGUUGUCGUAAUGAUUGUAAAGACUGUAUUUACUUUUUAUUUGCACCUGCGGUGCUAAUGCCUUACAUGGUCUAACUUCACUCUAACGACCUAGUUAGACCUAUACCUAGUGCUAUGCACAGAUAGGCACUGGCGAUUUACCGCCUCGUAUACCUACUCUUCGGAGAUAAAUAUGAGAUGAUGAUACACAUAGAAUAAUAUGAAUAAAAUGAAUACUCGGACGACUAUAACGUUACAUUAGCUUUAUUGGUUAUUAAGCAUUAUAUGUACAUAGUCUGAUUAUAUUACGUAAAUAGAAUUACGAUUUGAUUUAAAGGAAGCGAGUACAUGUAGUCGCAAAUGCGUGUUAAAAACACCACCCAGGGACAAGGGCAUUCAUGCCGGAUAGGGCAGGUCCAGUAUGAAUGACUCUAAGAAGAGAAUUUAGAGAUGCUGCAGUUCAUCUCUUGAGUAACCACGAUCCAAUCCGAUAGUCCAUUACGUAAAAGAUAUUUCAUAUCCCAGUAAUUAUAAGGUGGAAAGUACGUGCUCCAUACGUCGAACGUACUGAUAGGGCUCCGCACCUCGACCUAUCUAUCGAAUGGAAACUAAGCUCUCGCUUAGUGAGUCCGUGGUUGACUGAAGUUGUGAUCGGAUAACGUGAAACACUUCACUAACGCGAACUAAACCGCUAGAUAGCGUGGUUACGUAAGAGAAUUGAGCGAAAGGUAGAAGGAGAACAAUUUUCCCUCACCUAAUCGACGGAAAAUGGCGCAAUUCCUCCCUUUACAUUGCCCCGAGUGAUUACUUAUAGGAAUAUGUAACCACUCUAACAACUAAAAAGGGAGAAUGUCCUAUGUGCCCUAUCCUUUGCCCCGGGUGUUUACAUGUUGCUAUUGAAAUAAAUAAAAUAAACAAAAUAAUAAAAUAAACAUCUUCUUAUCAACUGUGAUACAGUAAAAAGCAGUAAUAAUAAAAAAAAAAUGUAGAAGAAGAAGAUAAAAAAAAAUGUAUCCAACUUCUGGAAAAAUUAAAGAUUAUAAACGUAAAAUAAAGUGAAAUAAUGUCUAAACAGUAUAUCUGUAUAAAAUAAAGAAAAGUCACAUUGCAUCGUAUGAAUCAAAGUACCGAAGGCAAAUCAAAAGUGCUUAAUGGACAUACAUUAGUGGUGAAAACUAUUGACUAUUACAGUAUGUAUGAAUUUCGUACAUUAUUACGUUAUUCUAUUCUAUGACUAACAUGAAUUUAUUUAUUGUUUCAGGUUCCAUGUGAUGAGCUGUAGUUCGAUUUCAUGUUGCAAUGUCUGUUUCAUUCCGGGAAGUAUGAAUUACGUAAGGUUGAUAAGGUUCUAGAUUUUCGAUACUUUGUAACGUGAUUUCGUAUUUACAGAUGUUUACUCAGCAAGAAGAGGUAGUAAACCCAAAACAGCCUCCAGAAUGAUACGGUGAUCAAGAAAAGGACACUUAUCGACUAUCUUUUCCGGUAACGUUCGAUCUAGUAUGCUUUCAAGCUGUUUUAUAUAGUUUGUGUUAUGUGUAUCUUUCUUCGAAAUGCUGAUAGCUUCUAGCCAAUUUCUAAAUUUCUUCGUUUUAUCACUAUGUACCGUGUGUUUUAUAGGUGGUAUGACAUAGAUUUUCUUUACGCCUGAAGUACUCAACGUCUUGAUCAGCGCAUUAAAAUCGUCUCUCAAUUUUUCUUCGUUGGCGUUUUCAUGAAGAUCUUUAUGACCUAUCGAUAUCAGCACCUUUUUAGUAUAAGCUUGAUCACCGGCUAUCGCAAAAUGGACCAUUUGAUGUACCAGGCCAUCGCCCAGCAUCCAGUACUGCUGCAAAAAGAAAAUAGUCUCCGUUCCUUUAUUUCGUAACGUAAGUGUAGCUCCGGUUGUGUAUAGGUUAUAUCGAAACUUUCUACACGUCGAACCGAAUUCAUCAGGUAUGGAUGUUUUUAGUGUCAUUCUUCUGAUUUCUUCUUGAAAAAUCUUUCUGGUUACCGGUAAAUGAACUACUUGUUCUUUUUUGUCAUAGGUCGAGAUUGUUAGUCGAUUUCGGUAAUUUUUUACGUCACGAAUCGCUCCAAAAUGUCCUGGCUUGAGAGGGCUACGAGUUUGGUUGUUAUCUAUAAUGGACUCGAACUUAUUCUGUUCAUAUUUCGUUCUAUAUCGAUUGAUAGCAUUUCGUCGGUGAGUAUUACGUAAAGGCGUUCUUGGUACAUAUCGUGAACCUGAUGGCUUAAGUAUUACUUUUAGAUUUUUUGUAUUAAUCGGUUUUCUUUCAGGAGACUUGCGGCGUAUUUGAAUCAUAGUUUUGCUGGUUUUGGUUGGCGAUGAUAGUUUUUUCGGUGAUGAUUUCUUCGGUGAAGAUUUAGCAGAUGUUCAUGUUUCCAAUUCGUAUCCUCGUCCGAUGUGUCUUCGUAUUUCGGUUCGAAUUGCGAUUCAUCGAUUUCUUUUUCGUUAGAUGUUGAUUCUGCCGGGUUCUGUUCUUCAUCGCUUAAAGGUUGUAUAAAUUCAUCGAUCGGAUUGUCAUACUUGUGUUCCGGUGUUACGUUAUCGAUUGGUUCACAUUUUUUCAGCUCUUGGUUCUCUUUGCGUAACUUCCAUAGUUGUUCUACUAAAGUCGCCGGUGACGUUGAAUCAUCUUUUACGGUCGUAAUUUGGAUGUUAUUUGCUUGUAUCUCGACGUCAGAUGCAAGAAUCAGUGAUGUAUUGCAGUUAGAGAAUACGCAUUUUUCAGUCCCGGUUGGUUCAGAAUACGGCUUUUCUUCCAUGAAUUACGUUACGAAGAUGAAAUCUGGAGCCCAGGAUUGAACGGAACUGGAUACGCUUGGAAAUAAUCGAAUUCGGAUUACGUAAGAUGAAAGUUUUUCUUUGGCCAAUCACGAUGAUUUGCUACACGUGUCUGAGAGUCUGUUGGACGUUUUAUAUUGUAAUCCAAUGUACUUUAUACAUAUUUUAUUGAUGUAUUGUUUUGUACUUACGUGUAACUGUUGUCUUGGUGGAUUAUUUUCGAUGUGUUAUUUGUAAUAACUUCUUGGUAGCAUUAAACUUUUGAACUUUACUAAACUGUUGUACCUUUACGAAAUAAAAUACCAUUUGUUGUCUCAAUGUCUCACUGUAACUUCUUUAACUGUGGUUUUAUUUUUCACGUUAUUUCAUGUUUGGUUUUUUUAUUUUGUUCGAACACUUUGUACGAUUUUGCUGUGUGUUGUUAGAGUUGUGCUAACGAAUGAGAUUGCUCUUUAAAUAAAUGAAAUUUGCUCUCA